UAGUAGCAAGAAGUUCUUUAUUUCACCUAUACAUUUCCAGGGAACGUUAUUUACUAAUAGAUUAUGAUCUGGUCAAAAUGAUCUAUACAUUCAUUACAUCUAGAGUGGGCUUUCAUAACUCACAGCAUCUAAGAAUGAGGCAAAACUCGCAUUUGUUUAUAGUGCAGCAAUUCUGCUCAGCAAAAAAAAGGUGCAGUGAAAGUACUGUCCUAAGCACCUUGUGAUCUGCUCUGAGCCCUGGGUAAUAUCUCAUGCCAACUCAAAAGCCUCAGAAGAGCGGGGAGGUGGCUGCUUCAGAAUACAGCAGUUCUCUCUGCAAAUAAGUGGUCCUGCAAGCUUAGUGCGGUCAUGGAUAAGGUUAUCUCGCAGAGGGAAUCUUCACAGCGGAACAAAACAUUUGGAGAAGAGAAGAUUGAAAUGAAGCUAAAGCAUUCUCAAUAUCAGAUUUUACAUGCGGUUUUUUUUCAAUCACACAAAAGGAAGAAAGAGAACAAGAAAAUGAGUUAGAGGAAGAUGAAGGCAGAGAUGGUCUUUUAGGCAAAGCUACUUUUUUACUCUCUGAAUUUACAGUCCUGAUAGACAUCUUUAUUCAAAAUUACUCUUUUUUUUUUUUUUAUAUUCAGAUACUACAGUUUUCAAUACUAGGUCCUAGAUUUGUCUGGACAGAUUACCCUCUUAUUCCCACAAUGAAACUUAAUUAUCCUUUUUAUGUCUUCAGAUACUUUCAGUCUUUUCCUGAACCAUUUCUGGGGACAGAGAGUAUCUGAUGGGUCAGUCAGAAAGGCAAGUAUUGUUCAUCUCUGUUGGCCACAAGUUUUUGAGGGCAGAAGCCCUUCGGCCCCAGGUCUCUUUAGAAAGACCUUGAGCACUACUAUAUAAUUUACUUGGACCUACUUUUGCUGAGCUUUUAUUUUUAUUAUUAGGCAAAAACUUGUCCUUUUCUCAGCACCUUUCUGUGUGUUACUUGGAAGCAUCUUAAUGUGAGUAACUCACCUGGAAUCUGUAAAAGGAUAUUUGAAUGAUUCAUCUCUGAGACAAAAAUAACCCCUCAUGAAAUCCAGGAUGAAAAUGACUGCAAGGUUUAAAACGCACCUUCCUAUGUAUCAUUGCUGUUGCAGCGGGAAGGAAUGCAUCUGAGUAGUUAAAGUCCAAAUAACCAAGUAAAUUGGUUCAAAGCAGCAGUAGUAGUACAGAGGGUCCUGUAAGUUACCAGUAUUGAGUAGUUACUAGACUUCAGGACACUUUCUUGGUUUCAUCUGUAACAAAGCCUAUAACAUACGUUAUCCAUUAUCACUACCUUCUGUGUCUGAGCAAAACUGAGUAGUUAACAUGGAAAGGUUGCAUAAGGUAAUCCAAGACUUGCAAGUAGUAAAGAGAAAAUUAUAAUGAGUAUC
rnacentral:lncRNA from 1 species